AAUUUUUUUUUUCCUCUCUCUCUCUCUCUCUCUCAACGUUCUUCGUCGUUCAUCUACUCUGUUUUCUGGGAGUUUGAUCAUCUCUGUCAAAGUACUCUUAAGAUGAUCGAUUUUUGAAGUUGUGAUUAAAGUGUGAACUAUGGAGUAAAUCAUUAUUUAUUUUGAAUUUCUCCUCUCUCUCUCCCUCAACGUCCUUCUUCGUUCAUCGUCUCUGUUUUCUGGAGUUUGAUCAUCUCUGUCAAAGUACUCUUAAGUUGCAGAGAACAACAUCGAUUUCGAAUCUUCUUUUGGAGAGUUCAAUUGUCAUGGAUGUUGAGGUUCUCUUUCUUCUAUAUGAUGUUUAAAUUUCUGUGAAUUGAACUAUUUUUGUAUGCGCUCUAUCUCUGACAUAUAUGAACGCUACAGGCACUGGUUUUGGCUUUUGGCCAAUGCACUCUUUUGCUUGGGUUCGAAUUCAAUGAUAAGGUGGCUAAGAUCACUCUUUUUAACAUGUUUUCAGAUAUUACAAGAUACACGGUAUGUUUUCACAUAUAACAUGUUUUGUUUGAACAACUGAUAAAUUUUCUUUCAUGUAGUUUCAAGAGAGAGCUGCGGGUUUUAAAAUUUAACUGCAAUGAGUUUUUGACAAUGUGGCCAAUACUACAAUCGGACUAGAUGAUUGUUAUCUGCACAAAGCGAUCCAAAGUAUGUGAUGAAAGGAAUCAAGCACAGGGUCUGUGAUUAUCUACAUGAAAGAACAGUGUAGCUAUGUGCAUAUCAAUUCGAAUUGAGGAGUUCAGAACAUAUCUCUCUGAACUGACUACAUAAGGCCAGAACAGUGUAGCAGCUUGAGUUAAGUGUUUAUAGAUAUAUGAACUUAAAUUGCAGAACUAUUGCUAGGUGAAAUCAAGAGAAAAGGAUCUUUGAACUGCAAACGACUUUGUAGUCAGAAAACAAAGAAGGGCUCAAGUAAAGUACUUUCUCUCAUUUCUCAAAUCUCUUAACUUCAUACAUAAUUAGUCCCACGGAAACUACAAGUACACUAAGACACCACGAAACUAAAACAAUACAAACACACGUAGAGAACAUUAUUCAAAUAGGCAAAAGAAAACAAACACAUGUAUACCAACCAACCAAACAAAAAACACCACGAACCAAACAAACAAUAAGACAACGAACUCCAACAGUCAUAACAAAAAAUUUACAUACCUCAAACACAAAAACCUCACGUGUAGAGAACAUAUUUCAAAUAGGCAAAACAAAAACACGCAUACACAACACUCAAAACAAAACCUUCACGAUCAGUAAAACAAAAUUCGUAGAAUUGUGGUGUCAAGGUUCAUAUUUCUCCUUCGAAAGCAUUAGCGCAAAACAAGCCUACAGCGAAAGUAAUAUAGAGUGUCAGGAUAUUAGUUUUUGCUAUUGACAGUGAGGGGAGACUUAGCUGCAGCAAGGUUCGUCUGCAGGGAAUCAAAUUAUGACAUAAACUUAUUAAGACAAGGUGUGCACAAAACCAGAAUAAUGCAAUAGGUUGAGUAUAUAAUCUGUAGCAGCACUAUAUAUCCAGUUGUCGGUCUUACUCCACGAUCUUCUUUGUCUAUAUUUCAUUAAGCACCAGAACAAGAGGACUAGGAAAAAAAUGGCUUUGCAAGCUAUGGUUGGACUUCUGAAAAUCUACAUUUUUCUCGGGUAUCUUUUGAAGAAGUCUUGCUAAUUGAAAUCAAGAGAAUGGAUCUUUGAGGAGCAAAACCAAAACUGGAGAUGAAAUUUCAUAGCAAAGAGCCAAAGAUUGAACGAAGAUGGGCUUGAAAUGGGGAAGUGACAUAACUCUCAUCAGCAAGCUCAACAAACAAAGGCAAAGGUAUUUUGUAGCUGCGGCCAAAGCUUCUAUCGGAUUAGCUAGUAGUCUCCAUAAGAUUUUCAAUGAGUUAUUUUUCUGAUUAGUUUGAGGUUUUGGUAUGUUCUUAAUCUAGGCUCAUCUUCUCUUCUCAGAACUAUUGCUAGGUGAAAUCAAGAGAAGGGCUCAGGUGAAGUACUUUCUCAAAUCUCUAACUUCAUGCAUAAUUAGUCCCAUGGAAAAUACAAAGUACACUAAAACACCACGAACCACCAAACAUAAAGAUAACCACGAGUAAAUACAAUACAAACCUCAAACAUAAAAACUUCACGUGUAGAGAACAGUAUUCAAAUAGUUAAAACAAAAACACGCAAACACAACACUCAAAGCAAAACUUCACGAUCAGAAAACAAAAAAAAUCGUAGAAUUGUGGUGUCAAGAUUCAGAUUUCUCCUUCCAAUGCAUUAGGUCAUAUAUCAAAUUCUAUGUUCUGUUUUCUUAUGUUACAUUGUCUUUGUCAAGCAUAAUUGUGUAUAGACUUCUCGUGUUUCUUUAAGAAUUCUUUAGUGAAAUA